ACUGUAACACUUUGAAGAGAAGUUUUUAUGUUGGUUCUGAUACUUUUUGUCAAAUAUGGUCAGCAUAUGUGGCAAACAGGGAAGUUAGCAAGCCUCAAGCCCAGACCACAUGUGGCUGUGAGCUACCGUUAUAGCUGUAGCUUAAAAGCUGAGCCCGCUACACCCUCUGAAAGACAGUGUGUAGAUUCCGCCAAAGACGCCGGCGAUCCCUGCCAAAAUACUGUCGCUCAUCCGGCUAGAGUGAAAAUAUUGAUAUGGCAUGAAACUAAACGAUCUAAGGAAUCCAUUGGUUCAAAGCAUGCCAGGCUAGGUUGUUGGCAAGUGGACUAUAUAAUCCUCCAAAGUUAGGCUAAAUUUUGGCGAGGGAAAACAAGUGGGUCCCUUGACAUCUCAUUACAAAAUAUGUGAAUGAAAAAGGCUUCUGUGGUACUGAUGGGUUUCCCUUCUGCGGACAUGUCCACUUUAUGUUAAUAACAUGCAGUUUAGGCAAAAACCAUGCAGUUUUUUUCAUGCAGUGUUGAAAAUACAUAUAAAUGUGUUAUUUUUCAACCCUAUCCUAUAAUGGUGUAUUAGAUUAUUUCUGCAUACUGUAGCCUUAAACAGUCCUGGAGUUACAUACAUUUGAUAUGACUGGGAAGCUGAGACUCCUGUGGAUACAAUGAGCCUAAAUAUACUCAUGUGUAUUCAUUUUAGACCACAGUAGCUAUUUCAUUGUAGUGAGACUAUUUAGACCAUUAUGAGACAAAGGAUAAAAUUAACUAAGAAACACGUUUAAAAAAAAAAAAAAAAAAAAAAAAUCUAACUUAUACUGUUAUGUAUUUUACAGAAUGGAGAACCCAGCAGGAAAUUCUAAAACAGACAUGCUCAGAGUGUGCAAUCAAAGAAGAACCAGACCCCCGCUCACCCAAAGAUGACAUUGUUAUUUUACUGCACGGUUCUUUUUUCUUUUCUUUGAAUUAUAUUCUUAAAUUGCAUUCAUUCGUUAAAAAGGUCUUUAAAAACUCUGUAAUUUUUUCAAUUCAAUUUAACCUGUUGAAACCUCUGCAACACCGAGAUAGAGAGUUAAAAUGAGCACAGUACAAAGACUGGACAUUGACUAGAAAUAAGUAGUUUCCAUUGGGCACAAUGCUGUUACUGUAUGUAAGAAUUAAUUUGUAAUUUGUGCUUUCUUUUAUUCUUCAUGUACUGUGGUACAGUGGAUGGAUGGACAUCGGUUGAGAAAACUACGGUCAUCAUAUGAUUCACUAUCACAGGGUGAGGAGCUAUGGAGAGAGAUCAUCAGUUUCACCUGUACAUCAAGUUCUAUUAAUGGUUUUAUCCAAAGCGACUUACAAAUGAUGGACGACACUUAAGCCCAGUGCAGUAGGAGACCUUGAUGUAAGUACUAAGUACAUCUAUUCAAUAGAUAUGGCGGGUCUGUGUUGUCUUAGCUUAUCUUCUGUUAAGAUCUGUACAUGUCCUGUACAAUUUCUCCAGCACAUGUAUAAUUUCCCACAAAAAACAUAAAUUUACCUUUCAACCAAAAUGUAUCAGUGACUGAUCUCUCACAAUAUUUUCACACUUGUAACACUACCAGUGAGUUAAGCCCACAGUGACAUAAAAAUGUGAAACCAGUGGGAACCUAUGUGAUAGCAUGUGUCAUUUCAUGCACCAUUACUUUGCCGUAUCACUCACCACACUAAGUCUAAUUGUGUUGACAGGCUGUUGGUAUCUGGAGUAUUAUGAUAGUAUUGUGUUGCCAUUGCUACACUGACCACACACAUUGCCAUAAUUCAUGCAGUCAGUUUGAUGAAACCAAUGAUGUACUGGGGGCUUCCUAUACUGCCCCAUUUUCAGUGCCCCGUUUCUUCUUCCAUUGCCCCUUGUGCUGCAACUGUUGAAGCCUCCAGCAAUCAGUCUGUCUCAUUUGGCUUGGAUUACAUGUCAGAAGGAUUUGAGGAAAAUGCACAGGCCUUCUCCUUCCUGAAGGCAAAAUACAAAAGAAUCCAGGGCUGUUCCAGGACUACACCACACUGUGAUUGUGUUGGAGCAUGCAAAUAUGUGGAUCACCAAAGUGUACUAGAAAUAAGUAAUUAUAAAAUAAAUAAUCAAUAAAAAAUAUAUAAAGGAACCAAUAAAUUGUGAAAUAGGUUAAGUAAAUAUUAAAACUCAAGGCAUUACUAUGAAAUGUUAUUUCAUCAUUCUUUUUUUUUUUUUACAUCAUUACAGAGAUUUAUGGGAGUUUAUUUUAAUUUCAUUAUGGAAAUUUUUAUUUAGAAUUGCCCCUUUUCAAAAAUCUGUUUUCAUUUAUUAAUGGCACAGUGUCACAUUUUAUUUCGUGACACUUUUCAUAAUGCCUCUUUUUACUUCCUGUUAGCUAAAGCAACACAAUGAACUAACAAAACUGAACAAUUAAAUAACAUGUCAUAAUAAUAAGUAUUAGUACAUUAUUUAACAAUUUAUUUAUAGAUUUUAUAAUCAUAUUUUAAUAACAAUAUUAAUAUUAUUUUUCAAUAUCUCAUUUAUAUACAUUUUUACUAUUGAACACUUUGGGCUUCCAUACCAAUGUGCAUUACAAUUUAGGUUACUGUGUUCCUGUGGAUGCAAGUGUGUGCUCUCUUAGGUUUGUGUGUGCAUUGUUGGAUCAAUACAGAGCAUAAGUGCAUUUAAGAGCUUUAUUAGUGGUUUUACUGCUUGUCUGUGGUAGGAAUUUUGCAAAUUCACAUUAAGUAUAGUACAGUAUAUGUAUUAGUAUACAAGGAACAUUCAGUAUCUCUCACAUUUGUACAAUUCAGUCCUGGUGCACUGUCAGUCUUGUCAAUAUGAGCUACAUUUCCAGGGCUUUUUUUAAUUUUUCAUCCUCCAAAGACGGUCUUUUAGUUCCCCGUCUCCAACCUCCCACCACCAUCUGCAAGAUUACUUUGUUACUCUCAAGUGCAAUAUCAUGACAUGUUCACCUUCAGUUGGGUUUUCUGUUCAAGCAAUUCAACCUCUGGUCAAUUAAAUCUUUAAUAUCGAUCAAACCAAACAAAUACUGUCCAAGGAAUGGCCCCAAUCUUCAGUACAAGUUUCUGACAAACUCUCAAGACAUGUCAUGUUGACUAAGCUAUUGUAGAAUGGACAAAGGGCUUUCAGGGAAGGUCUUUCUAUGGUGAUGGAUAAUAUUGAACACAAGCACUUAACAAAAAUAAUUUCUUUGGUGUCGUUAAACCAAAGUGGAGAGUGUUUCCUAUUACUACCUACUAUUAAUUAAUAAACUUCAUCAAUUUAUCAAAGCAAAGUCAUAUUAAGACCUUUAGGUUUUGUGCAACAUUUCGGGUAACUAAGAACUUGCAUUUCUUUCAACUUUUUACUUAAAAUGCAACAUGUUCCUUGAGUCAAAGCCUCAAGGAAAAAAUGUAAUAAAGUAGGUUGUACACAUCUAGACUAUAGUUUGUCUAUUUUUGUUAUUUAAUGAAUACUUACUGUUGCAACACUUAAAUUUAUGCACAUAUAUCUGAUAUUUUGGGAAAUAUUGCUUUCUUGCCAAGACUAAGAUAAAAAGAUUGAUACCACUCGAUACCACUAUUGAUACCACUCUGUAUAUGUCUGAUACAUGUCAGCAGUCAGUUAGCUUAGCUCGGCAUAAAGACUAGAAACUUAUGGAAACAGCUAGCCUAGCUCUGACCCAGCACAACACUUUUUUUUUUAUGUAUUAAACAAACAACAGAGCCAAGUGAACUGUUUCCCUCUACAUCCAGUCUUUAUGCUAAGCUAAGCUGCUAGCUCUAGCUAAAUUUAUCAUAAACAUGCCUAAGAGUGGCAUCAAUCUUCUCAUAUAGCUCUCAGCAAAAAGGUGAGUGAGUGUAUUUCACUACUCAAGUGGUGCUCUACUAAAUGGGCGAUUUGAGUCUAGAGUUCUGAUUAGGUAUUUUAAUUAUGUGUUCCCCAUGUGUCCAGUCUUAAUGACACAAUACCUUAAUACACCUGAUGGUAAAUAAUUUGUCAAUUGCACCAAAUACCUCACAAAGGUACCUCUCUACCCUUUGGGCUUUCUUCUAAACUUGGACAGCACUGAUAUUGUAACAAAGUCCCCAUUCACAUAUUAUACAGUGGCACCUUCCAGGCGUUAACUAAGAUAAAAACUGAAAAUGAAAAUUACAAAUUAUUUACAAGUUUAAAAAAAAACAAGAACUCAAGAAGAUAUACUUACAAAAACAGAAAUAUACAACAUCAGCGGACACCUGAAAUAGUUCCCAGGCACUUGUGAUGCAAAACAGACAAACAUUAUUACACAUGUAAGUGCUACGAUCUAGGACAAUAAGAGAAAUGUAAUACCAUAUACAAUUGUUAUUUGGGAAUUAAAAUACAACAAACCUUUGAGAGUAGAGUGAGAAUACCUUCAUUUAAAGUAACACUACAGCAUGAAGCUCAGUAUGCUAAUGGUUAGUAACAAUGUACAAUCUGUACCCAGAGUAACAGAUGAAGUGGUGAUAUAGGUAAGUUUAGCACAGUAAACUAUUUGCUCCUUCACAUUUUCCCCCAAAAUAGACGAUAAACAAAAAGGGGAAAAAAGUAGGUCUGAUGGGUCAUCAGUUGGCAGCACAAUAAUCAUAUCAUAAUUAUGAUGUUGAAGUAUGCUUUGACAAAUUCAAACCAAAUAGGUGCAACACAAUACAAAGUAAAAAGCACAUAAUGCCAGAGGAAUGCCAUUCUAUACACAAACAAGCUGAUUAAUGCAAAUGCAGAUUCCUGUGUUUCACCUUUACAUUUAAGUAAUCCAAAACUUUUCCGCUUUCCUUUGGCCUGAAUUCAUCCCACAUCCUUUGACGUAUGUCUCUACUGGCUUGCCUUUUAUCCAGAAGCCAUUGUUGAAAACAAUGAGGAAACGAGACACCCUUUUUUUUUUUUUUUUUUUCUCUGUCCCGUUUCCCCA